CGACCGGCGCACGGGUGCGUAACGCGUAUGCAACCUACCUUUAACAGGGGGAUAACACUGAGAAAUUGGUACUAAUACCCCAUAAUAUCAUAGAAGGCAUCUUUAUGGUUGAAAAUUCCGAUGGUUAGAGAUGGGCAUGCGUUGUAUUAGCUAGUUGGUGGGGUAACGGCUCACCAAGGCGACGAUACAUAGGGGGACUGAGAGGUUAACCCCCCACACUGGUACUGAGACACGGCCAG
rnacentral:rRNA from 1 species